AGCGUUGUCCGGAAUCAUUGGGCGUAAAGCGCGUGUAGGCGGCUCGAUAAGUCUGCUGUGAAAGUCCAGGGCUCAACCCUGGGAUGCCGGUGGAUACUGUCGAGCUCGAGUCCGGAAGAGGCGAGUGGAAUUCCUGGUGUAGCGGUGAAAUGCGCAGAUAUCAGGAGGAACACCAAUGGCGAAGGCAGCUCGCUGGGACGUGACUGACGCUGAGACGCGAAAGCGUGGGGAGCAAACAGG
rnacentral:rRNA from 1 species